rnacentral:rRNA from 1 species
AUUGAACGCUGGCGGCAGGCCUAACACAUGCAAGUCGAACGAGUGGCGGACGGGUGAGUAAUGUCUGGGAAACUGCCUGAUGGAGGGGGAUAACUACUGGAAACGGUAGCUAAUACCGCAUACCAUCGGAUGUGCCCAGAUGGGAUUAGCUUGGUGGUGGGGUAACGGCUCACCAAGGCGACGAUCCCUAGCUGGUCUGAGAGGAUGAUCAGUCACACUGGAACUGAGACACGGUCCAGACUCCUACGGGAGGCAGCAGUGGGGAAUAUUGGACAAUGGGCGAAAGCCUGAUCCAGACAUGCCGCGUGAGUGAAGAAGGUUUUCGGAUCGUAAAACUCUGUUGUGAGAGACGGUAUCUAACCAGAAAGCCACGGCUAACUACGUGCCAGCAGCCGCGGUAAUAC